rnacentral:tRNA from 1 species
GCCUUCGUGGAGUAGUAGUCAGCAUGCUCGACGCGUAACCGAGAGGUCCGUGGUUCGAUUCCCGGCGAAGGCU